AUACGUAGGUGGCGAGCGUUGUCCGGAAUUACUGGGUGUAAAGGGAGCGUAGGCGGGUACGCAAGUUGAAUGUGAAACUAACGGCUCAACCGAUAGUUGCGUUCAAAACUGCGGAUCUUGAGUGAAGUAGAGGCAGGCGGAGUUCCUAGUGUAGCGGUAAAAUGCGUAGAUAUUAGGAGGAACACCAGUGGCGAAGGCGGCCUGCUGGGCUUUAACUGACGCUGAGGCUCGAAAGUGUGGGGAGC
rnacentral:rRNA from 1 species